CCCCGCCCUGCCCCUGCGUCGCGUCGCGCUGCAGCUCCCGCCCCAGCCGGGCCAAAGAUGGGGUGGCGGCUGCGGUUUUUCGCGCGACUUCCUUAGAUCUUGGGGCAAACGCGCAGAUAGUUCGGACGCGGGUCCGGGCUGAUUUCGCUUCGUUUUAUUGCAUUUUAUUACUAAUUAAAAAGCUUUCGUUCUCCGUCGCCCCAGCCCGCUCUUCUCCCGAACUCUCCCCUCGGCCCCCGCCUCCGCCCCGCGAUUGCUCCGGGGAUGCCGGCGCCCGCGCGCCAGAACCCGGCUCCUCCGAAGCCCCCUCCGAGCCCCGCCGCCGCCCUCGGGCCUCCCGGGCCCCCGCCUCCUCCCCUUCGCCCCCACCCAGCGGCGGCGGCUUCGGGCUUCUCGGCUCAAAAACAACAGCCGAGGCGCCGCCAGCUCCGCGCUCCGCCACUGCCCCGGCCGGCGGGCUGCACUCGGACCCGCCGUCCUCCGUAGGGCGCCCAGCGACGGAGCGCAGCGCACUCUGCGUUGGGGGCGGCUUGGGGGCCGCAGUCCGAACACCGGGCGUCCUCUGCCCCGCGUCACCCUGGCGUCCGGCACCUCUCCGCCUCGGGGGCGUAUCCGCGCGCUCUGGCCUCGGCGCCCCUGCUCKACUGCCGCCGUGGGCCCCCAGAGUAUCAAGGUUCCGCCAGGCAGGAAGACUUGGAGCUGUCACUGCGUCACCCGAGCCCGGGGCAGGGGUCGUGCCCGCGGGUCCAGGUCUCUCUGCUGCCCAGGGUGGGGCUCCUGUCCAUGCCCACCCACUCUUUGUUGUGCAAUGAAACCAGUAUCCGUUGCACUGAGACCUACAGACGGAAACCUGCGUCUUUGCCCUUUGCGUUAAAUUGGCCGCGGCUGGAGAGCUACGCCGAGGGCUCAGGCCCCAGCAGAGACCGGAGACGUGGGGCCUAGGGUCGCAGGGCCCAUGCCACCCCAGAGGAAAAGCCCCUGCGGACCCAGACUAGAUGGUGUGCUGGGCCUUCCGCCUUCUAGUCUCAGAAGUCGACAGCCUCUCUCCUGCUGGGCUUCCUGCCCCUGGGAGAUUUCCAGGCGGCUGCCCAGUCCUGCACCCCACUCGCUGCCCCGCAUGGGCAAGUGCUCACUGGCCACUGCCCCCAGGCUCUUUCUGGCCCUAGGUGAGUGUGUCYAGGAAGCCCUUUCGGUGAGGUUCUGCAGAGGGUCUAUCAGACCAUUACUCACCCUCCCCACACUGACUGCCCGUCCCCUGAGCUGGGACACAGGAGUAUCUGGCUUCCAGGGACAUGCUCUGUAGGUCUUGGUGGGGA
rnacentral:lncRNA from 1 species